UUCCUCUAUGUUGAAGGAAAACAAUAUGACUGUACUACCUGGUUUUACUGAUUCUUAAGUUUAUUGAUCCAUUUUUGUGGUUCUUUAUUUGCUUCUUAAUCAGGGGAGUGUAGAGGCUCAGUGGCUUCAAUCAUUUGUAUGCUUCCAACUUCGAGUCCCACUGUUGAAAUAAGCCUAUAGUGAAACUUGUUCUAAUGG